AAACUCUGGUUUCUCUUCAGAUCGUAUAAAUCUUUCGCCUUUUACUAAAGAUUUCCUAGUCACAGUGAAAGCUUUUCCAAACAUCCUUUGUGGAACAACCCAAAUCUGGAAA